GAGGGUGAACUUAGAGCCCUCAGCACGUUGUGUGUUAAUAGCGCUGCUUUUGGCCAGGCUGCGUGGUUAGUGAAUC
ncrna:Prevotella nigrescens ATCC 33563 L13-Bacteroidia ribosomal protein leader